rnacentral:rRNA from 1 species
AGUGAACGCUGGCGGUAUGCCUAACACAUGCAAGUCGAACGGCCGCACAGUAAGCGCUUGCUCUUACGGGUGGCGAGUGGCGGACGGGUGAGGAAUACAUCGGCAUCUACUUUUUCGUGGGGGAUUACGUAGGGAAACUUACGCUACUACCGCAUAUGUCCUACGGGUGAAAGCAGGGGAUCUUCGCACCUUGCGCGUUUGAUUGAGCCGAUGUCGGAUUAGCUAGUUGGCGGGGUAAAGGCCCACCAAGGCGACGAUCCGUAGCUGGUCUGAGAGGAUGAUCGGCCACACUGGAACUGAGACACGGUCCAGACUCCUACGGGAGGCAGCAGUGGGGAAUAUUGGACAAUGGGCGCAAGCCUGAUCCAGCAAUACCGCGUGAGUGAAGAAGGCCUUCGGGUUGUAAAGCCCUUUUGUUGGGAAAGAAAAGCAGCAGGUUAAUACCCCGCUGUUCUGACGGUACCCAAAGAAUAAGCACCGGCUAACUUCGUG